CCUACGGGAGGCUGCAGUAAGGAAUAUUGGUCAAUGGACGAAAGUCUGAACCAGCCAUGCCGCGUGCAGGAUGACUGCCCUAUGGGUUGUAAACUGCUUUUAUAUAGGAAGAAAAACUUUCUCGUGAGAAAGCUUGACGGUACUAUAAGAAUAAGGAUCGGCUAACUCCGUGCCAGCAGCCGCGGUAAUACGGAGGAUCCAAGCGUUAUCCGGAAUCAUUGGGUUUAAAGGGUCCGUAGGUGGACAAAUAAGUCAGAGGUGAAAUCCUGCAGCUCAACUGUAGAACUGCCUUUGAUACUGUUUGUCUUGAGUUAUUAUGAAGUGGUUAGAAUGUGUAGUGUAGCGGUGAAAUGCAUAGAUAUUACACAGAAUACCGAUUGCGAAGGCAGAUCACUAAUAAUCAACUGACACUGAUGGACGAAAGCGUGGGUAGCGAACAG
rnacentral:rRNA from 1 species